rnacentral:rRNA from 1 species
UACGGAGGAUGCAAGCGUUAUCCGGAUUCAUUGGGUUUAAAGGUGCGUAGGCUGACUAUUAAGUCAGUGGUGAAAGCCUGCAGCUUAACUGCAGAACUGCCAUUGAUACUGAUAGUCUUGAGUUUGGUUAAGUAGGCGGAAUGUGUAAUGUAGCGGUGAAAUGCUUAGAUAUUACACAGAACACCAAUUGCGUAGGCAGCUUACUGAGCCGACACUGAACGCUGAGGCACGAAAGCUGGGGAUCAAA